rnacentral:rRNA from 1 species
AAAUGCAGUCGAACGAGGUUAUGGGAGGAGCAAUCCGACCAUGACCUAGUGGCGGACGGGUGCGUAACGCGUGAACAAUCUGUCCUAGUGAGGGGGAUAACAUCUGGAAACAGAUGCUAAUACCGCAUAGGACCACGGUGUCNCAUGGCACUGGGGUGAAAGGAGAAAUCCGCACGAGGGUGAGUUCGCGUCCCAUUAGCUAGUUGGCGGGGUAGAGGCCCACCAAGGCGACGAUGGGUAGCCGAUCUGAGAGGAUGACCGGCCACACUGGAACUGAGAAACGGUCCAGACUCCUACGGGAGGCAGCAGUGGGGAAUAUUGGGCAAUGGGCGAAAGCCUGACCCAGCAACGCCGCGUGAGGGAAGAAGGCUUUCGGGUCGUAAACCUCUGUCGCAGGGGACGAGUAGAUGACGGUACCCUGUGAGGAAGCCCCGGCUAACUACGUGCCAGCAGCCGCGGUAAUACGUAGGGGGCGAGCGUUGUCCGGAAUGACUGGGCGUAAAGGGCGCGUAGGCGGCGCAAUAAGUUUGGAGUGAAAGUCCCGCUUUCAAGGUGGGAAUUGCUUUGAAAACUGUUGUGCUUGAGUGUGGGAGAGGAUAGCGGAAUUCCCGGUGUAGCGGUGAAAUGCGUAGAGAUCGGGAGGAACACCAGUGGCGAAGGCGGCUAUCUGGACCAAUACUGACGCUGAGGCGCGAAAGCGUGGGUAGCAAACAGGAUUAGAUACCCUGGUAGUNCCACGCUGUAAACGAUGGAUGCUAGGUGUAGGAGGUAUCGACCCCUUCUGUGCCCGAGUUAACACAAUAAGCCAUCCCGCCUGGGGAGUACGGCCCGCAAGGUUUGAAACUCAAAGGAAUUUGACNGGGGGCCCCCCACAAGCCAGCCGGAGCCAUGUGGUUUUAAUUNCCAAGCAACNCCGAAGAAACCUUNACCNGGGUUCNUUGAACUUCCAGGNUUAAAACCCGUAAAANAUACCGGCGGUGCCNUUCCGGGCAAUUCUGAAAA